ACUCAAAGGAAUUGACGGGGACCCGCACAAGCGGUGGAGCAUGUGGUUUAAUUCGACGCAACGCGAAGAACCUUACCAGGGCUUGACAUCCCUUGACAGCCAUGGAAACAUGGAAUUCGGUCCUUCGGGACCGACAAGGAGACAGGUGGUGCAUGGUUGUCGUCAGCUCGUGUCGUGAGAUGUUGGGUUAAGUCCCGCAACGAGCGCAACCCCUAUUUUCAGUUGCCAGCACGUAACGGUGGGAACUCUGAAGAAACUGCCGGUGACAAACCGGAGGAAGGUGGGGACGACGUCAAAUCAUCAUGCCCUUUAUGUCCUGGGCUACACACGUGCUACAAUGGCCGGUACAGAGGGUGGCGAAGCCGUAAGGCGGAGCGAAUCCCCAAAGCCGGUCUCAGUUCGGAUUGCAGGCUGCAACCCGCCUGCAUGAAGUCGGAAUCGCUAGUAAUCGCGAGUCAGCAUAUCGCGGUGAAUACGUUCCCGGGUCUUGCACACACCGCCCGU
rnacentral:rRNA from 1 species